rnacentral:rRNA from 1 species
ACGGUUACCUUGUUACGACUUAGCCCCAGUCACCAGUUUUACCCUAGGGCGCUCCUUGCGGUUACGCACUUCAGGUACCCCCGGCUCCCAUGGCUUGACGGGCGGUGUGUACAAGGCCCGGGAACGUAUUCACCGCGCCGUGGCUGAUGCGCGAUUACUAGCGAAUCCAGCUUCAUGAAGUCGGGUUGCAGACUUCAAUCCGAACUGAGAGAGGUUUUUGGGAUUGGCAUCCACUUGCGUGGUAGCAGCCCUCUGUACCCCCCAUUGUAACACGUGUGUAGCCCCGGACGUAAGGGCCGUGCUGAUUUGACGUCAUCCCCACCUUCCUCACAUCUUACGAUGGCAGUCCCGACAGAGUCCUCAGCAUGACCUGUUAGUAACUAUCGGCAAGGGUUGCGCUCGUUAUGGCACUUAAGCCGACACCUCACGGCACGAGCUGACGACAACCAUGCAGCACCUUCACAACCGCUAUUGCUAGCUAUGGCGUUUCCGCCAUAUUCGGUUGCAAUUUAAGCCCGGGUAAGGUUCCUCGCGUAUCAUCGAAUUAAACCACAUGUUCCUCCGCUUGUGCGGGCCCCCGUCAAUUCCUUUGAGUUUCACCGUUGCCGGCGUACUCCCCAGGUGGAAU